rnacentral:lncRNA from 1 species
AGGGCGUUUUACCCAUUUGUCUGCCUUGGGGGGCUGAAGCUCGACGUAACCUCUACAACAAAACCGUUACCAUCACCGGCUGGGGAGCCAAAGUCUACGGAGGCGAUGGCAGUCCCAUCCUGCAGGAGGCAUCGGUGACGGUGUUCCCAUCAGAGGUCUGCGACGCGUCCUACUCGCAGCUUCCUUUCUACUCCACCAAGUGGCCGCGCGGCAUCGUGGAGGACACUUUCUUGUGCGCCGGAAACUCCAGCGGCGGAAUCGACACUUGCCAGGGUGACUCCGGCGGUCCUCUGGUAUACUCCCCAACCAACAAUCAUGACUACACGCAGGUGGGCGUUGUGUCCACGGGCUAUGGCUGUGGACUUGAAGACUUCCCAGGCUUGUACGUGCCUCUCUCGAACCCGGACUACCUUAGGUGGAUUAAAGAGGUGGCCUUCGGCGAAGAUUGAGCAACGAAAAUACUGUCAUGUAUCAGAACUCUAUUUUUGUUUCAAAAAGUUCAUGUUCAUAAUAUUUAUUAACAUAAUUAAAUAUUAAUGUUUCUCUCAUAGAAAGAUCCAUAUUUUGUUGAUCAUGUAACAUGAAUAUUGAACGUACAUUAGUGAAUUAUGUGAAGUUAAUUAAGUUUUCGUCGUAAGCGUACUCCCGUACUGGAUGAAAAAGGGUCGCUUGUUUUCCGUCAAAGAUUUUCUUUGGUAAUUGAAUUUCCAUCAUUCAAUGUUCAGUGUUAUUCUCGUAUAGUGCCAUCCAAGGAUGUCUCGUGUGAAACACGAGAUUACUUAUUCAGAGAAAUUUUUAUGUCCCUGCUAGUGGCAACAUCCUUUUAUGCGUUGUCGGGUGCUUUUGCAAAUAAAUUAGUCGACGCUGAACUAGCCCCGAAGCAGCAUUGUCGUAAAUUUUAAAGGAAGUGACAAUGUGUUAUUGCUUUGUUCAUUUCUAUAUUAAGCGACCGUGCUUGUGAAUAUUGAUAUAAUAGAAGGGAAACGUAGCUUUUAGAAUUGACUCGUGUUUUCUGGUUCCUUGCAGUUUUAACAAAUAUAUACCCCAAAUCCUGGA